GGUCGGAGGUUCAGUCCUCCCAGGCCCACCACUUCGCAAUCCGCAAGGAUUGUCGGAUCUCCUCGAUAUCCGUCGGGAAACACUAUCAGGGGCCGUAGCUCAGCUGGGAGAGCGCCUGCUUUGCAAGCAGGAUGUCGUCGGUUCGAUCCCGUCCGGCUCCACCAACCAUCUUCUGUGAAGGUGGGGCGUGUCGAGUAGAGGAUGAUCGCCCGCGGUCAGUCAUUCGAAAAAGAGUUUGCGGCGCGCUUCGUGCUCUCCGCCUGUUCUGUUUGACAUCGUAAAGAGAAGAUUUGUUCGAACUUCACGGCUGCAAGGCUGUGAUUUGUCGCAAGGACGCUCAAUCCCUUGCCUAUGAUGGGUUUGCCUAACCGCGCCCUCGAACGGAUCUCGAGAAGCUGGUCUUUUUGUGCCAAUUCCAUUGAAGCAAGCCCCGCACAGGGUUUUGCUCAGGCGGCGAUCCUUCGGAUCGCGCAGAUGGGUAUUGGCAAUGAGAACGAUCAAGUGUCUUAAGGGCAAUUGGUGGAUGCCUUGGCAUGCACAGGCGAUGAAGGACGUGAUACGCUGCGAUAAGCUACGGGGAGGUGCGAAUACCCUUUGAUCCGUAGAUCUCCGAAUGGGAAAAA
rnacentral:misc_RNA from 1 species